GCGGGAGGCCGGAAAUUAUUGUCUUUGGCCUCUGGUUCUGCGAGCCGAUUGUGUUUUCGUACCGUCAAAAAAAAAAAAAAGAAAAGAAAGAAAACAACUACCUUUCUGAAUGUAUUGUAUCCAAGGCCUUUGCAAUGUUGGGAGCAGAGUGAGCAGGUGUGGGGAGUCCUGAAAGACUGGUUACAUUACGGAGGUCAUCUGGCAUCCAGAGAAAGCUACUGCUUCAUCAAGCAGUUCUCCACCCUGCUGUAAUUAAAUACCUUGAAUUUUC
rnacentral:lncRNA from 1 species